rnacentral:rRNA from 1 species
AGAGUUUGAUCUUGGCUCAGGAUGAACGCUGGCGGCGUGCUUAACACAUGCAAGUCGAACGGGAAUUACUUUAUUGAAACUUCGGUCGACAUGAUUUAAUUCUAGUGGCGGACGGGUGAGUAACGCGUGGGUAACCUGCCUUAUACAGGGGGAUAACAGUCAGAAAUGACUGCUAAUACCGCAUAAGCGCACAGAGCUGCAUGGCUCGGUGUGAAAAACUCCGGUGGUAUAAGAUGGACCCGCGUUGGAUUAGCUAGUUGGUGAGGUAACGGCCCACCAAGGCGACGAUCAGUAGCCGGCCUGAGAGGGUGAACGGCCACAUUGGGACUGAGACACGGCCCAGACUCCUACGGGAGGCAGCAGUGGGGAAUAUUGCACAAUGGGGGAAACCCUGAUGCAGCGACGCCGCGUGAAGGAAGAAGUAUCUCGGUAUGUAAACUUCUAUCAGCAGGGAAGAAAAUGACGGUACCUGACUAAGAAGCCCCGGCUAACUACGUGCCAGCAGCCGCGGUAAUACGUAGGGGGCAAGCGUUAUCCGGAUUUACUGGGUGUAAAGGGAGCGUAGACGGCAAGGCAAGUCUGAUGUGAAAACCCAGGGCUUAACCCUGGGACUGCAUUGGAAACUGUCUGGCUCGAGUGCCGGAGAGGUAAGCGGAAUUCCUAGUGUAGCGGUGAAAUGCGUAGAUAUUAGGAAGAACACCAGUGGCGAAGGCGGCUUACUGGACGGUAACUGACGUUGAGGCUCGAAAGCGUGGGGAGCAAACCAGGAUUAGAUACCCUGGUAGUCCACGCCGUAAACGAUG